UCAACAAAUUUUUAGACUCCCUCUGCCGCUUAGACCAAAAAUUAGAACACCCUCACUCCUCCCAAAUAAACCUUAGUCUUGCAAUUUCCUCUCUCUCUCUCUCUCUCCCUCUUAUCGAUAUGGGGGAGAUCGCCAGUCGCCGUAGCUUGCGACUCCCUCGUCUCACCAAGGAUCUCGAUUGGAAGCCGUUGGUCUCCAAUAAAGCUUCCGAGGUGUUCUUCAACCUCAAUCUACAAACAAAAUUCACCGAGUGAAUUGGAAAGAGAUUUUUCCGAAGCUAUCAAUUUUGUGGAUGAAGGAAAAGGGAAGGCUGGUGGAUUGGAGAAUUGGGGACGUGAACUGUUGAUGCAGACUCAAGACUUCAUGACACAUUCGUAGAAAUCGUGCAUCCAAUAGUCCUUUUUACAAAAGAAAGACUGUAUGACACAUUCAUAGAAAUUGUGCAUCCAAUAGUGCUUUUCACAUCUCAAGCAAACUUUUUCCGUCACAUUCAAA